UACGGAAGGUCCGGGCGUUAUCCGGAUUUAUUGGGUUUAAAGGGAGCGUAGGCCGGCUUUUAAGUCAGCUGUGAAAGUCCGCGGCUCAACCGUGGAAUUGCAGUUGAAACUGGAGGCCUUGAGUGCACACAGGGAUGCCGGAAUUCAUGGUGUAGCGGUGAAAUGCUUAGAUAUCACGAAGAACCCCGAUUGCGAAGGCAGCCUGCCGCAGCGUUACUGACGCUGAAGCUCGAAAGCGCGGGUAUCGAACAGG
rnacentral:rRNA from 1 species